rnacentral:misc_RNA from 1 species
AACGUAGGGGGCGAGCGUUGUCCGGAAUUACUGGGCGUAAAGGGUGCGUAGGCGGCUACUUAAGUCCACGUGUGAAAGGCCCCGGCUCAACCGGGGAGUGGCACGGGAAACUGGGUAGCUUGAGUGCUGGAGAGGGUUGCGGAAUUCCCGGUGUAGCGGUGAAGUGCGUAGAUAUCGGGAGGAACACCAGUGGCGAAGGCGGCAACCUGGACAGUGACUGACGCUGAGGCACGACAGCUGGGGGAGCAAACAGG